GCCUGGACAGCUCAGUUGGUUAGACCAUGAUGUUGAGAACGCCAAGGUUGCAGGUUCGAUCCCCAUAUGGGACG